GAUGAAGAACGCAGCGAAAUGCGAUACUUGGUGUGAAUUGCAGAAUCCCGUGAACCAUCGAGUCUUUGAACGCAAGUUGCGCCCGAAGCCACUAGGCCAAGGGCACGCCUGCCUGGGCGUCACACGCCGUUGCCCCCCCAUCUACUCCUUCGGGAUUGCGGGGGGGCGGAUGAUGGCCUCCUGUGCGCCUAGCCGCGCGGUUGGCAUAAAUACCAAGUCCUCGGCGACGCACGCCACGACAAUCGGUGGUUGCGAAACCUCGGUUGCCCGUCGUGUGCGUUCGUCGCGCAUCGAGGGCUCGAAAAAAUGCUCGGCUCCGGCUGGGCUUUCAACGCGACCCCAGGUCAGGCGGGGUUACCCGCUGAAUUUAAGCAUAUCAAUAAGCGGAGGA
rnacentral:misc_RNA from 1 species